GCUUAACACAUGCAAGUCGAGGGGCAGCAUGGUCUUAGCUUGCUAAGGCCGAUGGCGACCGGCGCACGGGUGAGUAACACGUAUCCAACCUGCCGUCUACUCUUGGACAGCCUUCUGAAAGGAAGAUUAAUACAAGAUGGCAUCAUGAGUCCGCAUGUUCACAUGAUUAAAGGUAUUCCGGUAGACGAUGGGGAUGCGUUCCAUUAGAUAGUAGGCGGGGUAACGGCCCACCUAGUCUUCGAUGGAUAGGGGUUCUGAGAGGAAGGUCCCCCACAUUGGAACUGAGACACGGUCCGAACUCCUACGGGAGGCAGCAGUGAGGAAUAUUGGUCAAUGGGCGAGAGCCUGAACCAGCCAAGUAGCGUGAAGGAUGACUGCCCUAUGGGUUGUAAACUUCUUUUAUAAAGGAAUAAAGUCGGGUAUGCAUACCCGUUUGCAUGUACUUUAUGAAUAAGGAUCGGCUAACUCCGUGCCAGCAGCCGCGGUAAUACGGAGGAUCCGAGCGUUAUCCGGAUUUAUUGGGUUUAAAGGGAGCGUAGAUGGAUGUUUAAGUCAGUUGUGAAAGUUUGCGGCUCAACCGUAAAAUUGCAGUUGAUACUGGAUAUCUUGAGUGCAGUUGAGGCAGGCGGAAUUCGUGGUGUAGCGGUGAAAUGCUUAGAUAUCACGAAGAACUCCGAUUGCGAAGGCAGCCUGCUAAGCUGCAACUGACAUUGAGGCUCGAAAGUGUGGGUAUCAAACAGGAUUAGAUACCCUGGUAGUCCACACGGUAAACGAUGAAUACUCGCUGUUUGCGAUAUACGGCAAGCGGCCAAGCGAAAGCGUUAAGUAUUCCACCUGGGGAGUACGCCGGCAACGGUGAAACUCAAAGGAAUUGACGGGGGCCCGCACAAGCGGAGGAACAUGUGGUUUAAUUCGAUGAUACGCGAGGAACCUUACCCGGGCUUAAAUUGCAGAUGAAUUACGGUGAAAGCCGUAAGCCGCAAGGCAUCUGUGAAGGUGCUGCAUGGUUGUCGUCAGCUCGUGCCGUGAGGUGUCGGCUUAAGUGCCAUAACGAGCGCAACCCUUGUUGUCAGUUACUAACAGGUUCCGCUGAGGACUCUGACAAGACUGCCAUCGUAAGAUGUGAGGAAGGUGGGGAUGACGUCAAAUCAGCACGGCCCUUACGUCCGGGGCUACACACGUGUUACAAUGGGGGGUACAGAGGGCCGCUACCACGCGAGUGGAUGCCAAUCCCAAAAACCUCUCUCAGUUCGGACUGGAGUCUGCAACCCGACUCCACGAAGCUGGAUUCGCUAGUAAUCGCGCAUCAGCCACGGCGCGGUGAAUACGUUCCCGGGCCUUGUACACACCGCCCGUCAAGCCAUGGGAGCCGGGGGUACCUGAAGUGCGUAACCGCGAGGAGCGCCCUAGGGUAAAACUGGUGACUGGGGCUAAGUC
rnacentral:rRNA from 1 species